rnacentral:rRNA from 1 species
CCUACGGGAGGCAGCAGUGGGGAAUAUUGGGCAAUGGGCGCAAGCCUGACCCAGCGACGCCGCGUGAGGGAAGAAGGCCUUUGGGUCGUAAACCUCUGUUGUAUGGGAAGAAGGAAGUGACGGUACCAUACGAGGAAGUCCCGGCUAACUACGUGCCAGCAGCCGCGGUAAUACGUAGGGGACGAGCGUUGUCCGGAAUUACUGGGCGUAAAGGGCGCGCAGGCGGAUAUUUAAGUCAGCUGUAAAAGGCAUGAGCUCAACUCAUGUAUGCGGUUGAAACUGGGUAUCUAGAGUGCUGGAGAGGUAGGCGGAAUUCCCGGUGUAGCGGUGAAAUGCGUAGAUAUCGGGAAGAACACCAGUGGCGAAGGCGGCUUACUGGCCAGCGACUGACGCUGAGGCGCGAAAGCCAGGGGAGCGAACG